AUACGUAGGUGGCAAGCGUUGUCCGGAUUUACUGGGUGUAGAGGGCGUGUAGGCGGAGAUGCAAGUCAGGAGUGAAAUCUAGGGGCUCAACCCCUAAACUGCUUUUGAAACUGUAUCCCUUGAGUAUCGGAGAGGCAGGCGGAAUUCCUAGUGUAGCGGUGAAAUGCGUAGAUAUUAGGAGGAACACCAGUGGCGAAGGCGGCCUGCUGGACGACAACUGACGCUGAGGCGCGAAAGCGUGGGGAGCAAGCAGGAUUAGAUACCCUGGUAGUCCACGCCGUAAACGAUGAGUACUAGGUGUCGGCCCUAAGGGUCGGUGCCGCAGUUAACACAUUAAGUACUCCGCCUGGGAAGUACGCUCGCAAGAGUGAAACUCAAAGGAAUUGACGGGG
rnacentral:rRNA from 1 species